UCAAACUUGGUCAUUUAGAGGAAGUAAAAGUCGUAACAAGGUCUCCGUAGGUGAACCUGCGGAGGGAUCAUUACAGAGCUCGUGCCCCCCGGGCAGACCUCCUACCCACUGUUAUCUACUACCCCUGUUGCCUUGGUGGGCCGCCGGCCCCGGCCGGCGCGCGCCCGCCAGAGGCCCCGCAGACCCUGAACGUCGGUGUUGUCUGAGCACUAUGCAACCGUCAAAACUUUCAACAACGGAUCUCUUGGUUCUGGCAUCGAUGAAGAACGCAGC
rnacentral:misc_RNA from 1 species